rnacentral:rRNA from 1 species
UCUACUAGUUGUCGGGUUUUAAUUAACUUGGUAACGCAGCUAACGCGUGAAGUAGACCGCCUGGGGAGUACGGUCGCAAGAUUAAAACUCAAAGGAAUUGACGGGGACCCGCACAAGCGGUGGAUGAUGUGGAUUAAUUCGAUGCAACGCGAAAAACCUUACCUACCCUUGACAUGUACGGAAGGCCGAAGAGAUUUGGCUGUGCUCGAAAGAGAACCGUAACACAGGUGCUGCAUGGCUGUCGUCAGCUCGUGUCGUGAGAUGUUGGGUUAAGUCCCGCAACGAGCGCAACCCUUGUCAUUAGUUGCUACAUUUAGUUGAGCACUCUAAUGAGACUGCCGGUGACAAACCGGAGGAAGGUGGGGAUGACGUCAAGUCCUCAUGGCCCUUAUGGGUAGGGCUUCACACGUCAUACAAUGGUACAUACAGAGGGCCGCCAACCCGCGAGGGGGAGCUAAUCCCAGAAAGUGUAUCGUAGUCCGGAUCGCAGUCUGCAACUCGACUGCGUGAAGUUGGAAUCGCUAGUAAUCGCGGAUCAGCAUGUCGCGGUGAAUACGUUCCCGGGUCUUGUACACACCGCCCGUCACACCAUGGGAGCGGGUUUUACCAGAAGUAGGUAGCUUAACCGCAAGGAGGGCGCUUACCACGGUAGGA